UCAAACAUGGAGAGGAGAGAACGUUCUGCAGCCCUGUCAGUAACCCUGCACAUAGCACUUUUGCGCCUUAUCGAGCAAAGGCCAGUCGUCGAGGACAGGUCUACUAGUACUGUAACACAAUAAAUGACAGCAAAAGAAAGGCCUAGGAUGAAAUUACUGCCUCAUUAAACGCCAGCAACCAAGAUCAACUCCCUCUUACAGCCAAGCACCUCAAGAGGAGCUCCAACAUAAAAAGGAAACUAAAACCAGAGAUAUAGGAGAGCGGGUGGUGGUCCUCCAGAAAAACUAUCAUUAGCUUCAGAAGAAAUCGCCACCCAGUGCUCGUGUCAUGCGGAAGACUUCUGCAAGUGUACCUGAACUUCCUCACUCCCAUGAUCCUCUUGUUUUGCCUGUUCCAACACCAGGGCUAUCAACUGUGUCUUCUGCACCAUCUACUUCUGUUUUUCGACUUCUAAUUUCACCCUCUGUUCCUGCCUCACCAGUCAUUGUGAGAAAAGACAAGGGGAGUUCCACAAAUAUAAAUUGUACACAAUGAAAAGAGAGCAUGAGGAGGAACUGAAAGUGAAGGCCAUAAUAUCAGCACAUACACUCAAAGAAAGAUAAAGUGAAACUGUAAUUAGAGUGAUUGAAAAGACGCUUGAAAAAAUUAAUAAAUCUUUUGAAUUGUUAGAUACAUGUUUAAGGAAAGCAUCAACUGCAUAUGAUGCCAUGGCUAAAACUUAUGAAUGAUGGUUGAGUAAUAACAUACAGUCAUAUGCAAUGUUUAUGAUUUUACUCUAUACAGGGGUACUGUGAUAUAUCGUAAAGUGGCAUCUAGAUUAUAAAUUUAUUUUCUUAUGUCUUACACCUUAAAAUAAUUUUAUUUAAAGGAAAUAAAUCUACAUUUCUUUAU